AACGAACGCUGGCGGCAUGCCUAACACAUGCAAGUCGAACGAGACCUUCGGGUCUAGUGGCGCACGGGUGCGUAACGCGUGGGAACCUGCCCUUAGGUUCGGAAUAACUCCCCGAAAGGGGUGCUAAUACCGGAUAAUGUCUUCGGACCAAAGAUUUAUCGCCUUUGGAUGGGCCCGCGUUGGAUUAGCUAGUUGGUAGGGUAAAAGCCUACCAAGGCGACGAUCCAUAGCUGGUCUGAGAGGAUGAUCAGCCACACUGGGACUGAGACACGGCCCAGACUCCUACGGGAAGCAGCAGUGGGGAAUAUUGGACAAUGGGCGAAAGCCUGAUCCAGCAAUGCCGCGUGAGUGAUGAAGGCCUUAGGGUUGUAAAGCUCUGUUACCCGGGAUGAUAAUGACAGUACCGGGAGAAUAAGCUCCGGCUAACUCCGUG
rnacentral:rRNA from 1 species